rnacentral:rRNA from 1 species
AAAAAAGCCGCUAUUGUGUAUCAUGAACCCGUACCGUAAACCGACACAGGUGGAUGAGGAGAGAAUCCUAAGGCCGACGGAAGAAGCAUUGUUAAGGAAUUCGGCAAAAUGACCCCGUAACUUCGGGAGAAGGGGUGCCUGCGCAAGCAGGUCGCAGAGAAUUGGCCCAAGCAACUGUUUAGCAAAAACACAGGUUUAUGCGAAACCGAAAGGUGAAGUAUAUGAGCUGACGCCUGCCCGGUGCUGGAAGGUUAAGGGGAGUGCUUAGACUUUAGUCGAAGGUGCGAACUUAAGCCCCAGUAAACGGCGGCCGUAACAAUAACGGUCCUAAGGUAGCGAAAUUCCUUGUCGGGUAAGUUCCGACCCGCACGAAAGGCGUAAUGAUUUGGGCGCUGUCUCGACAAUGCAUCCGGUGAAAUUGAAGUACCAGUGAAGAUGCUGGUUACCCGCGCCAGGACGGAAAGACCCCAUGGAGCUUUACUCUAGUUUGAUGCUGGGAUUCGAUACUGCAUGUACAGGAUAGGCGGGAGACUGAGAAGUAGUGACGUCAGUUGCUACAGAGUCGCUGUUGUGAUACCGCCCCUGCAGUAUUGGGUUUCUAACCUGCGGCCGUAAGCCGGUCGGGGGACAACGUCAGGCGGGGAGUUUGUCUGGGGCGGUCGCCUCCGAAAGGGUAUCGGAGGCGCUCAAAGGUUCCCUCAGAAUGGUCGGGAACCAUUCGAAGAGUGCAAAGGCAGAAGGGAGCUUGACUGCGAGACCGACGGGUCGAGCAGGUACGAAAGUAGGACUUAGUGAUCCGGUGGUAUGAAAGUGGGAUUGCCAUCGCUCAACGGAUAAAAGCUACCCUGGGAUAACAGGCUUAUCACUCCCAAGAGUUCACAUCGACGGAGUGGUUUGGCACCUCGAUGUCGGCUCAUCGCAUCCUGGGGCUGUAGCAGGUCCCAAGGGUUGGGCUGUUCGCCCAUUAAAGCGGUACGCGAGCUGGGUUCAGAACGUCGUGAGACAGUUCGGUCCCUAUCCGGCGCGGGCGUAGGAUAUCUGAAAGGAGCUGGCCUUAGUACGAGAGGACCGGGCUGGACGAACCGCUGGUUCACCUGUUGUCAUACCAAUGGCAUAGCAGGGUAGCCAAGUUUGGAAGGGAUAAACGCUGAAGGCAUCUAAGCGUGAAGCCCCCCUUAAGAUAAGAUAUCCCUGGAGUAAUCCAGUAAGACCCCUUGAAGACGACGAGGUAGAUAGGGCAGAGGUGGAAGUGUGGUAACACAUGCAGCUGACUGUCACUAAUAGGUCGAGGGCUUGACC